AUUAUAAGUUCUCAUACACUAUAAACAUUUUAUAGUUUUAAAAAAAAAAAGUAUAUAUAUAUACUUUUGUGUAGCUGCAUCAGUUUUGUCAUGCAACUUUUCAUUAUAAUCUUUUUUGUGGCCGUGCUCGCGGCUGUGUGUUCACAAGGAUGCUUCGCCGUUGAGGCGUCUGCUGACAAAGCUGUGAGUGGUAAAGAAGUUGAACGCGCUGGUUUCGCCAGACAUGAGGCGCAGGCAGAUCCGUCAACAAAAAGGGGACCGAAAUUUUCCGGUUUUGGACAUGGAAAUGGAAAUAGAUAUAGAGAUGGAAGUGCAAAGCCAAAAGUUUUUUCCGAAAUUUUCAGGAGCCUUAAACUGAAUAUCUUUGGAAGUAGCUUGAUUACGCUUGUAGUUUCCGCAGCGACUAACCGUGGACUCCUCUGAUAUAAAAAAUAUAUUGUAUUUCAUGGUUAGCAUGGCUGAGUCAUGACAAUUACAGAAAGGAGAAUUUUCCCUGCAGAUUCAAGCCAUCAAAAUGAUUAAAUAACUAAAAUAUAUGAAUAGGAAAAUUUCUUGUAAAGUGUAAAGACCGAAUCAAUGCCUCAAGUAUCGAUCGUAAUUUGGUGUCCGAUAACCACAGAAUAUGAUGACGAUACAGCCAUCAAUGUAAUUCGUCAAUUCAAGAGCGUAGCAUUUCUCAAAGCAGUCCAGACAAGCGGUAGCAGGAAGAGUGUUAUGAAGGCAAUCCCCUGUGAAGGCUAUGAAGACGGAAUCAGUGCCUCAAGUACCGAUCGUAAUUUGUUGUCCGAUAACCUCAGAAUAUGAUGAAGAUACAGAAGUCAAUGUAAAUCGUCAAUUCACAGAGUGUGGUUUCAUUUCAGGAUUUUGUUCAGUAGACGAUUGUAGUUCGACCCCACACAGAGCAAGCGCGGACCAACGUCGUCGUAGAAUCAAUAUUUCGUAUUUUGCUGGCUGGGCAGAGUGUUGGCGGCUUGCUGAUAAAAUGAAGAGACUUUCGACUUUAUCCCCGUCAAGCAAUGCGGCUAUUUGCGUGUUUAUUUAGUGACAGUGCGCCAGAUCUGCAAACUACCAGUGGAAGCAGUAAGCUCCAACUAUACAAGACUACGAUAGAGCCUAAUUGUAGGCAUGACAGCUUUCCAUUGAAUAAGGAAACUUCAAGCAACGGAAUUUAGAGCUCUAACACGCCUCACAGGUGGAUACCCAUUUGCAUGAAACUUAGACAUAAUGAGAGACCUGAACAUAAGCCGAUUAUGGAUGCAAUACACAACACUUUUAUCCAAUAGAACAUUAAAUAUGAGACCCAGUGAACUGCAUUUUCCCAGCUCUUUAUUACUUUUUUAGUAUUUUAUCAAACAAUUGUAAACCUGUCUAAAUAAAUAAAUGAAAG